GAAAUGCGAUACGUAAUGCGAAUUGCAGAACGCGAGUCAUCAAAUCUUUGAACGCACCUGGCACUUUCCCGAGAGGGGGAGUAUGCUUGUUUCAGUGUCGCCUAACCCUCCCCACCGCGCCGGCAACGGUUGCGGGUCCGCGGGGUCGCUGAGCCUCUGGGCGCCGGUUCCGGCGGCCGCAGGCUUCAAGUUCAACACCUUCCUCGUGCCCCCGGCGACGUCCCGCGUCCGCUGUGGCAUGGUGUGGCAGUAUCGCGCCGCUCGCGGCGAGAUUACACCAACGCCCCCAAGCCGCAAACAGCAGCGCGCCGCGCGCGUCCGCCACCAGCAGCAGCACGAGAGGCGCCAUGGUUGCAUGGCGCCGCCCCCCAACAAACCACCUCAUUUAUCGACCUGAAAU
rnacentral:misc_RNA from 1 species